rnacentral:rRNA from 1 species
UACAGUGGCUGUACCACCCUGAACGCACCCAAUCUCGUCUGAUCUCGGAAGUUAAGCAGGGCUAGGCCUGGUUAGUACUUAGAUGGGGGCUGAGAGUCUUAAAGAUGAGGUUGUCUUUCUUU